GAUGAACGCUGGCGGCGUGCCUAAUACAUGCAAGUCGAGCGAACAGACGAGGAGCUUGCUCCUCUGACGUUAGCGGCGGACGGGUGAGUAACACGUGGAUAACCUACCUAUAAGACUGGGAUAACUUCGGGAAACCGGAGCUAAUACCGGAUAAUAUAUUGAACCGCAUGGUUCAAUAGUGAAAGACGGUUUUGCUGUCACUUAUAGAUGGAUCCGCGCCGCAUUAGCUAGUUGGUAAGGUAACGGCUUACCAAGGCAACGAUGCGUAGCCGACCUGAGAGGGUGAUCGGCCACACUGGAACUGAGACACGGUCCAGACUCCUACGGGAGGCAGCAGUAGGGAAGCUUCCGCAAUGGGCGAAAGCCUGACGGAGCAACGCCGCGUGAGUGAUGAAGGUCGUCGGAUCGUAAAACUCUGUUAUUAGGGAAGAACAAAUGUGUAAGUAACUAUGCACGUCUUGACGGUACCUAAUCAGAAAGCCACGGCUAACUA
rnacentral:rRNA from 1 species